CCUGUGGCUCAACUGGAUAGAGCAUCUGACUACGGAUCAGAAGGUUGGGGGUUCGAAUCCUCCCAGGC
rnacentral:tRNA from 1 species